rnacentral:piRNA from 1 species
CACAGAUGUAGUUUUUCUGGAUGAAUUG